CCGCGGAACCACCGCGUUCGUGCGGGACCCUCGGGAUGUGCGGGAUCCUCCGGGUGGAAUCCCCUGUGCGGGUCCUCCGGGUGUGCGGGACCCUCCGAGUGGGACCCUCUGGGUGGGAUCUCCUGUGCGGGACCUUCCGUGUGUGCUGGGUCCUCCGGGUGUGCGGGACCCUCCGGGUGCGGGAUCAUCCCAGUGGAAUGCCCUGUGCGGGAUCCUCGGGGUGUGCGGGACCCUCCAGGUCUGCAGGACCCUCCGGGUGGGAUCCCCUGUGCGGGACCCUCGGGGUAUGCGGGACGCUCCGGGUGUGGGGGCUCCCUCCGGACAAGACCCCCUGUGCGGAAUCCUCCCUGCGGGUGGGGGGACCCUCUGGCUGUGCGGGAGCCCCUGUGCGGGAUUCUCUGGCCGUGCGGGACCCGGCGUGCGAGGGAUCCUCUCUCUGUGCAGGACCCUCCGGGCAGGCGAAGGACCCUCUGUGCAGGACCUUCUCUGCUGGACCCUCCGGGUGGGCAGCGGGAUCCUCUGUGCGGGACUUUCUGGGCGGGCAGAGGGACUCUCCGGGCGAGACCCUCCGUGCAGGACCCUCUGUGAUGACAGGGAGACCUUUCAGAGUGCUGGCGGUGGGGUCGCAGCCUUCGGCAACAUGACCCCAAGUAUUUCCCGAAGCUUCUUCCACCCGGACCCGCGCCCCGCUCCGUGGGCUUUACCUCAUUUGCGGGGCGGAGCGGGGCUGGCCGGGGGACAGCGGAUCCUCUGCUCCUUCCCUGGGGUCGGGAGCUGCCGGCAGCUUAGGGCUGUCUGGCUUAUUCCUGCGGACGGGGAGAAAAAGGAAGCAAACGCCCGCCCUCCCCCUCGGUUUUAAUCCGAGAUAAUAAUGCACUCGGGAAAUUUUAAGCCUUCAGACAAAUGACCCCAGGGGAUGGCUUUGUGAAUUCAGAGCAGAUCCUGCUUGUUUCCUCAAGGCGGCAAGCCAGGAAAUCAUGGAUUGAUGAACCGCUUGACGGGCCUGCUAAUGAAAUUAGCAGCAGCUCCAUGAUUUUUUCAGUGAGCGGGACAGGCAGAUGUUGAAGGCAAGCACACAAUGGCACAGCUGCACUUGCAGGCUGCCUGAAUUCCUGGCAGAGCGGACAUGGGGCUCAGCAGACACAGCUUUGGCUGCUGCCCAUUUCGCAGGUGGUUUUACCUUUCCCUCCACUGCUAAGGCUCUCCUGGAGGUGGGGAGCAGAGGGUUGCCGAAGGCUGCUCCUUAGGGCUGGCAUCCAGAAGGAAGACCCAAGGGUACCCACUGUAAGGGUCUGCUCAGUGCCCUGCAGUGACUUGCCCAUGCACCACAAUACACCGAGCUAUUUGACCAUAUAUUAUUAAUUGUUUCUUUCUUUUAGAUCUCUCCCAUUGCCAAAAAUAAUCCUCUGGACAACAGAAGCUUUCUCAGCUGUGGGUUGUGGAUGGGAGAGGUCAAAUAUGGAGGAAAUAUAUUGAAAUUCAGAGAGGUCGUACCAGGGGGAAAUGUGUGUGCUUCACCAGGCAGCCCCCCAUGCAGUGCCAUUGAAGCAGGGAAGCCCCCUGACUUUUGCAGAGAUGUUUUCUGCUACCAGAGGGUGCAUCUUCAGGCCUCACCUGCUUCUACCAGAACUGCGGGAAAAGAGCUGGGAUGCUCAGGCGAAUCAACCAUAAAUGUGCUGUGUGAUGCUGGGUUUCUCUCCCCUCUGAGCGUCAUUUCUAGGAAUGAAAUAGUCAUCCCUGGAUGAUACCCAGAAAAAGCUCUCUCAUCGACCUCUGGGAAGUGCAAGUACCCAUUUCACAGCUGGGGAAAAUGGAGACAACUCAGCAGGACACAACAGUGAUGACUCCUGCCUCCCAGAAGCCUGCUUUUUGUUUCUCUUAAGAUGUUCAUGAACAGGCCACUUGGAGCAAGCCCCAAAAUAACAUCUUCUUAGGCUGUGGACAGCAGGGCUGGACACUGCAGCACAGGAGACCACCUGGCUUUGCCCGUUCUCCAGAGGGAAGUUAGGUCAGCAGGCUGCAAGCAAGGUUUGUGUGAAUUUGGACCAGAGGAUUUUGGGGUUUCAGAGCAGCUUUGAGCCCAUGGUCUGGCGUGAAGCCUGAAGUCCUGCAGCACAGCAGGCUCAGCCAGGUAUUCGUGCCUUUAUAAUUCAGCUUCAGUGAAGACAAUAUACCUUCCAAAAAGGCAUGACAAGCUGAACAGGAAGAUCUGUGAAGCCUUGAGUUGUUUAGGGGAAAGCACCCUACAAACCUUGCAGUGCCAUCGCUGAGGCUGCAGGGACCAGCUGAGCUGAAGGUCCUGCUUAUGCUGCCAGGCACAGCUCUGCUUUUGCAAACUGAUUUAAUGCCACUGUACCUGGAGCUCAUGCAAAGCACGGUUCUGGAGGAAAAAAAAGGCACCUGCAGAUCACCUCAGUGGUGUUGGAUUCCCAGGAUGGGCAGCUCCAGGGACCACAGCAGAGGUGGGAGCGGGCUUGGAGCCGUCUGGUGGAGCUGCUCUGCGUCAGACAGGUUUCUCCCCAGACGCGCUAUGUUUUCCAAAAAUCAGAUUGACUGGGAGCGUUUGAUAUGAGAAACAACUUGAGGGCUGUGUUUAGAGCCAAAGAAAAGCACAGGCAGUAUCAGAGGAUUGUCGGAGCUGAAGAGGAAAAAAUCCCACGCAGAUCAAGCAGCCCAUUUCCCUAAACGUCGGGGGAAGGUGGCAAAGCCAGGGUUUGAAAGGGGAGGCAGGACAAGAGCAGAGCAGCCUUUGUAGGCACCUGGCUGGGCAGAGGAACAGGUCUGGAGCCCAAGGACACAGACUGCAGGUGUAGGCUCUGCUUCAUCAGUCAUGGGCCUUUCCAGGGGCUUGCUCCAGCUUUCCAAGCCCUGCAACCAAGAUCACUCCCAACCACCCCGGUCAGGACCCAGCAGCCACACACAGAUGUGGAAGCUGAUCACGAGAGAACUUCUGCAGAGCCCUGUUUUCACCAGCACACAGCUGCGCUGAACUGGCUUUGCAAGGACCCCUCCAGGCAUUUGCUUAGGAACUGGUGAAAUUACCCUGCCUAAUGGCCUCCAGAAGCUGAGUUACCCAGGCGUAAACUGUGCCACGGAGAUCCCAGGAGCUGUGGGAAGCAAACGGCACGUUGGUUUCUGUGCCAGUCUCAAGGUAGCAGCUGAAGCAUAAACCGGGGGUGGAAAAGGGCUUGAUACGCUCACAUGCUCUCUGUUGUUUUGUUUCGGGCUCUUUUUGUCCCUUAAUUUGUCGCUGCUUACCCUGGAGAAAGUGUGGAUGGGAGAAACAGCAUUUGCCCGUUUGUUCCAUCUGCUCUGCUGACCCCUCGGGUCAGGAGGGCUGGGGCUGCCACCAGCAAGUCCCAUCCUGAGUGACCAAGGGCAGUGGUUGGGGACCAGCAGCGUGUGCAAGUGUGGAAAACCCUCCUGCCAGCUCUUUGAGUGCAGCACCCUGCAGCAGAAGAGCCUCAGGCUUCUUGCUUGCUACAGACAGGAGCAAACAGGCAUUGCAGGCAGGAAGGAUGAACCCCAGUUAAGUGCUCUGUGCGGUGUCUCCUUGUGUGAAAACUGGUGGGAUUGAAUCCACAAAUAUCGACCCUACAAAUGCCUGUCAGCAGGACAGACAGUUUUUGGCUGUGGCUCUCCUCCUCCAAGCCCCUGCAGCAGGGUGAGCUUUCUUUGGGGUGAGUACAUACUCAAGUUUCCUAUGCCAAGGUUGAGUUCAGCUGCCAUGAAGUGUAAUGAUGAUGACAGCUCCAGAAUAGCUGGCGGAGCUCCACAUAGUAUUAUCUACAAAAUUUGAAUCAAAUCAGACAAAGGAUUUCUCAAUUAAAUUCCCCCAAGUACUGAGUGAUAGUUAGGAGGCUCAUGGGAGUACUCACAUGUUCUGGUUUGCCACUUGGAAACACAAUGGGGAAGAGAAAGAGGUAACCAACAGUCAGCAACUGGCUGCAAAGCAGCUACAGAGAAAUCACCACUGUAAAUGUCGAGGUCCAGCACUGAUGCCACUCCCUCCACCUUCAUGGGGCUUCUCUCAUUUCCUCCUGAGCACCCAGCCUAGGGGCUCUUGGCUCUGCAGGGGCUUUUUGGACCCAUUGAGAGCUCCAGGACAUUAAAUGUGAAUUAAGGAUAUUACGAAUAUCCACAGCUUCACAUCUGAGAGCUUCUUGAUGUGAGGUGUCUGCACUGGAAGGUUUGGGGUCCCCUCCUGUUUGACCUGGUGCUCCUGCUGGGGCACAGCAGGGAUCCUCUGGGGAACCUGCAGUGAUUUAAUCCCUCCCACGAUGAUGUAAUGUGGGCUCAGAGGGUGACACCUCUCCCACACAGGUUGGGGACAAGGUGCAGAAGAGGCAGGUUAUGGGUGGAGGAAGAGGGACGGUUUUCAGGAAGUGCUUUGCCUCUCCCUGGGGGGAAUGUGGGUGCCACAAUUCCUCUUGGCUGGUGGCUCUGCAGCCCCUCCCCUGCAGGGUGUUGGGCAAUGUCAGUGCUCUUGGGGAGGAGGUGUGUAGUCUCACUGCUGAGGGCUUUUUUAUUUUUCAAUCUGUCAGGUACCUGAGUAGAUUUGGCAAGUGCUAUCACACUUGGGAGAGGAGGAAGCGUGAUAAAGUGUCAUUAGAACAAGGUCUGGCUGAUUGGGAACUCCAUCACCCAACAUAUGUAUCUUGCCGCUGCAUUGGUUUACUCAAAUAACUCUGAGUUAUUGCAGACCUCUGAGAUUUACUCUCCUUAUGUUCACUGUGACUAUCUGUGAAAGCAGGCAUUUUUUUACUUGUCCUGUUGUUAAGCUCUAAUGAAGUGCUUCUCUUCUAAAAAGCAUUUUAAGGUAAAAUAACAAGCAGAAAAACAACCACCAGUUUGGAGCCUUAUGAAGCUGUUUACACUUCUGGGCCCUUCUUCCUUCUCUCUCAUCCCAUUUCUUCUGCUUCCCUUGCAGGUUCUGGCCCUGAGCUGGUAAAUCACAUUCGAGCCUGUGCCUCACUCUGCACAUAAUCAGUGGUGUGAUCCUGUGGAAUAAAUGUGUGUAUGAUGGGAAUGCCUUUAGCAAAGCACACUCCUGUUCCCCCCCACCCCACCAUGUAACCUCCCAGCCUCACAAGCACUCAGCUCAUAGGUUUAUUAUUUAUCCUGGUGAGCUGUAUUGAAGCCUGAGCACCUGGCUUCCUGCAUGGCCCUGAAUUACUGCACCAAAUCCCUGCGUAAGGACCUGAGUUUCAGCACUGACUGAUAUGAAUAGGUCUGCCUGCAGCUAAAAAUAGAAAGCACGGGGCAGGCUUCCAGGCAGAGCUGUAGUAACUUCUAAUAUAAGGUGGCUCAGCAGCAGUUCCUAUGGCAAAGCCUCCUCCCAUGCAGUGGGGAAGGCUGUAGGAUGUGCUCAAGCCAGUAUUAGACAACAGAGUUUCCUUGUGGGAACCAACUUGUGAGGUGCAAAGGCAGUUUUUAAGUUUUCUUCUUCCUAGUGUGGGGCUGUCUCCUGCUCCGUAGGAACCACUCCUUGGCUCCGUGCCUCAGUUUCCCCUCUGAAAGGAGUUCUGGUCGCUGUGGGGGAUGCAUUUGAUCUGCACAGUUUUCUUGCCCUCUCUGCAACAGGAGAGGCUGCAGCACUGGGGAGGACCUGCAGUCCCCAGCCUGCUCCCCUGUGAGCCUGUUCUGCUCUCCCUCUUCCCCCUGAGCUCUUACACAGAAUGUUUGCUCCUUCUCUCACUGCCAAGCCCAGCAGUAAGAGGCACUUUCCCAGCACCCCUGGCUAUGCUGCCCAGGUAGUGCUCUCUGGCCUUGCUGGCAGAGAGGUGUUUCCUCCCUCGCAGAGCCAGAUGUGUCUGUUGGAACUCUGUAAACCUCCCUCAUCACGGGGAAGUUAUUUCUUCCUUCAUUAGGGUUUAUCUGCUGUGAAAACCUGCUCCCCCUCCCGGACUCCCCCAGAGUCCUGAUGCCAUCAGUCAUGACAAUGGCUCAUCCCAGCCGUGCUCAUCGCAGCGAGAGGCUCAUUGUCCCCGUGCUGGGCCAUAUGGCCUCCUGCCUUAACGCUGCCCCACACACAGGCUUCUGUUCGAGGAGCAGCUGUGGAAAGGCUUAGUGGAUCUCCCCAGGGUCAGCCAAGUGUAACAUCCAUAAGGAAAAGCACUAGACCACUGUGUGGCAAGAGGAGGCAGCAGGAGUGCGGGGCUGGCUCUCUGGAGCAUCCUCCGGCGCUGUCACCGUCCUCCUCCUCACCCAGGAGCAACAGUGCAGAAAUGCAGCUGCCCCCGGGGUGGAGGGCAGCAGCAGGACAGCAUCACAGGGCUCAGGGAGAGCUUAGGGAGGUCUUGGCUCCUGCUGGGCUCAGCUGUGUGUUUGGGACAAAAUGAACGUGCUGUGAUCUAUUCAUCCUCGGCAGAACUCUGCUCCUGCAUCCACCGGAGCGACCUCGGGCUGUGGGGAUUGGCUCCCUGGGAGCUGAAGGCAGCUGUCAGGUGGAAGAUUUCUUGGGUUUGUUGCACUGACCACAGGGCUGGGACCUUCACCUGUGAGGGUUCUUAGCUCCUGUAUCGGCAUGAGGAUGAGUGUGAGUGCUGUGGAUGGAGGAAGGAGCAGACUCUGCUCCCCAGGGUGUGUGACUAUGGAGAGGAAGGAAGGCAAAUGUGCGCCCCUGGUUGGUUUAUUCCGACUUCCUCAGCUGGGAAUUGGGCUGCUGGUGCAAUGUGCACACUGAUGUCUCCCCAGGCACCCCCUUGGCAUGCUGCUGGGCCCCCCUUGGCUUGGUGGUGCUGCAGGAGGCUGCCUGAGGCUGCCCUGGUCUCUCUGAGAGUCAUCCUGCCACCUCCCUGGGAAAGAGGCAGGAAAAUAGGGUGAGGUUAACCUUUAUUACAAGGCAGAGCUCAGCAGGAACAAACAGUGCAGCUUUUGGGCAAAUAGGUUGCACAGGACUGUCUGUCAUCACUUUCUUGUUCUGCUCUCUCCCUCCUCAAUUAAACUUUGUCUGCUUGUAGCAAGGAGCUUGUCUCUGGGGCUUUUCAGGUGGUGAAGUUGCUGGGUCAGGGGUGGUUGUAGCUUUUGCAUCAGCCUGUGUUGUGGAAGUGAGCAGCCCCUGAGUGCUGUGGGUGCUGGGGGGUAUGUGGGAGGAGGAAAGGGCUGCCAGAGGGUGCAGAGUCUAGAGAUUAGAGGUGUGCUGUGGGUAAAGACAGCUCUUUAUUUGGGAUGGGUGCCCUCCAUACCUUUGCAUUCCUCUUCCCCUGGUAUCUGUUUUCUCCCCAGAGACCUUAUGGGGAGACCCAGGAUUGUUGCUUUCCCAGUGCAAACAGAGGCCUGGCUGGGUAAGUACAAAAUCCUCCUGUAGGAAGGAGGAUGGUGUGCUCAUGGUCCAUCAGUUGAUGCUGUCUCUGUCACAUCAGAUGGAAGGCAGGAUGGAGAUGUGCUUGUGGCUGCCCAUGAGCCCUGGACACUCCCAGCUCCAUCCCCAGAGCCCCUCCCGGGGGGAAUGUCUGACAGGUAAGAGCAGAGACCAGCCCUGGCAGGAUGGACUUGCCCAAAUCACUGCCUGGAAGGUUUGGCAGUGUCCAUAGGGUGUGUCUGGAUGCUGCUGGAGAUCGGGAAUGCUGUAGAAUGAGCCGUCCUUGGUUUGCUGUGAUGAUGGCUGCAGGACUAUGGUAUGAUGGAUGCACUCCUUGAGUUAACUGAACUUUGGGCCAAGCAGGUGCUCAGCAACUCACCCUGAUCAACAUUAAUUCUGCUGUGCGUGGCUACCAGUGAGAACUGAGCACCAACCCCCAGAAAAGCACAGUUUGGCUGGAGUCUGGGCUGAUAAGAGGCUGAGAGAUCCCUUACCUGACACCAGACAUCCAUGGGUUGAUAGCUGACAUUUUUUGCAUGCAUGUAACAUUUAAGAUAUGUCUAAUAACCUUAGCAGUAGUCUUUGCAUCCCCUACUAACUUUAAGUGAGUAAAUAGUAGGGUACUGACAGCCAAUUCAUCUGUACUUAUUAAAUAUGAAAUAUUUUGCAUACCUAAAUCUGCUGACUAGAACUCAGUAAACUAAAUACCGAGAUCCACCUGAGUGAUCUUUCUGACUUUUCUCCUGUGACAAAAUAAGCACAGUCAGUCGGAUGGCAGAUUCAAUUACUUACUAGUUAUGGAGGCAUGGAAUUAGACCUUCUCCAAGACUUCCUGAGGAUUGGGUGUUCAAAAAUUUGUGUAAUCGGAGUAAGAUAGAGGAACACUUAAGCUUUGAGAGAGGGAAACUGAAAUAUGGCAAAGAAAAGGAAAUAAUAUGCAAGAUGUUGUAAAUGUGUUUGGAAGCAGCGUGUCAUUGUAAGGAAUACAAAGAAAAGGAAAUGAGAAUGUUACAAGAUGAGGUUGAACAAAGAAAGCAACAAGAAAUGCUGUUAUUUCUGUGAACAGAUCAAUUGCAGAAACAACUGUUGGGGGGGUGGAAGGAAAAGUGAAAAAGAGUAGAGAACAAACUAGAACUUAUGAUAACUUGGGUCCCCAAUCCCCCCCACUCCACAACGAUCCAUUAACUGCAUCCCCAGAAGAUUGGGAUGGAGAUAUAUGGGGGGACCCUGACCAAGAAUUUAGGGAUGAGAGCAGUGAAGAGGGUGAGUUAGAUGAACUGUAGUUUAAGGUGGCCCUUACUACUAAAACUGAAGUGUCCAUUGGGCCCCAAGGGGGUAACCAAAGAAAGCUAAACUUUGUGUUAAUGUUGUUUUAAUGCUCUAGUCACUCACUAGAAGGGAUAACCAGUUUGGAGUCUCCCUGCUAAGACUUAUUUCACUUUCCAGGAAGCAAACUGGGGAUACCAAAACACGAAAAACAAACAGCAUCAAAACACCUCCCCUGGAGACGAGGUCAAAAACCCUCUGGAUGAAUACUUAUUUUUCUUGCAGAAAUAUUCAUCUCCAACAUGAACCAGAUCUAGUUUAUACAUCAACAAGCCUGAUGCAUGGGGUGGAGACCCGCAGGUCUUUUAUUUGUACAAACCAAUAUGGUAAUGAUUGUAAUCACAUUUAAGCCUGAGUGCAUUACAAUCACUAACAAAGCAAGCUGUAAUAGUACAAAUUUGGGAAUCCACCCAUUAACACGAAUUUGGCAGAGGGAAAUGCAAUCAUAAUAUGUGAAAGACAAUCCCCAAACAAUACAGGGGAAAUUUACUUACUUAGUUUUCAAUAUAGUUCCUUUGAAAAGGGGUCUAGAUCUAACUGGGCUGAUAGCUGUUCAAUGAGUGUUACAUUAGAAGAACAUAUGGAUAGAGAAAUAGGAUGCACUUGGAGAUAUAAUUUAUCUAUUUAUCCUGGAGAUAAAGAAUUGAAUUGAAACUAGGAUGGCUUAUAUUUUACAGCAAAAACUACCAUAACCUCCACAGUGCAUCUCAGACCCCCAGUAAGGCUGCUGAAAUGUUAUCCCCCCCAGAUUUCUGAAGUUGGGCCCUAUGCUAUUAAAUAUACAGGCCAGCAACAAACACUACUUAAUCCAUCACUGCAGGUUAAUAUCUCUGCAUUCAAACCUACCUGCUUACCCUUCCCAAACACAUCUCUACAGGGCUGUUCACAAGGUUGCCUGGGUGAACCCUCGCAUCCCCGAAACGAGCGAGGAGAGAUGUGACUGGCAUCCUGGGAACAGGAUUAGGAGUAUUAAACAGCAUGGAUGUGGAAGUUUUGGCAAAUAAAUUCUGCUUGGCAACAAGGGAUUUGUAUAAACAAGAAAACCCGUUAACAAUCUUCUUUGUUGGCAUUAGGAACCAGUUAGUGGCUCUUAGAUGAUAUAUUAUCUAAAUGGCAAAGAAUCAGUGAAAAGGGCCCCCACCUAAUUGCAGACGCACUUGGCAUCGCCCAGAAUAAUGUUUCCAUAGCUUUUAGCUGUAUCCAAGCUCAGUUAUGGGUGCAACCCACUACAGCAAUAGUUACAAGGGAAGGUGGUGAGGGCACCUUACCCGUUGAGAUUCAAAAGGGAAUUUGGGAAACUGUGACUUAAUUAAAAAAAUAUUUCCAGUCUUGGUGGUAUCCAGUAAACCUCACUGAUGACCCCACCGGCAGCAAAGCCACAGCUUUUGUUUUAGCCAUAUGCAAUGCUUAACAGCUGGACUUGAUGAUCUCAGAGAUCUUUCCCAGCCUAAAUGAUUCUGUUUACUCAGGCACUGAGCUGGGAUCGAAUCACCGUGGAACUGUACUCCAUCCUUUAGAACACGGAGUAUGGGCCCAGCAAAAUGGGAACAAAUGGCAAACUGUCACUGCUGACACAUGUGCUGCGUGGAAACAACAAGGAUUUAUUUGUGAAUGUAAUACUGUUGAGACCCAAGACAUUUGUCUUGACACCGAACAAAAUGUUUGUCAUUUUGAAAUACAUCCCAGUGAGACCUCUGAGACUGUACUUGUGUGUGUUGGGACUGGAUGUGUUUGCAUGAGAGUCCUUUGUGAUUCUCUAUUUAUAGACAUCACCACUGUAUAUAUACACAACCCCUCAAACAUAAGUAUUUGUUAUUUCACUAAAAUUAUGAGAUGCAACUUUAACUACUGAGCUCCUUUCAUAACCCACUGUGUCCCAGACAGAGUGAAGAAAGAUGAAAAAUAUCACUGGUGAGAAAAUCUGCUUGGAUAGUCACCAACAGCAUCUGGAGCUUUGAAUUUGAUGUUACACCUAAUUGUAGCCUUGUUAAUCAUUGUAGUUUUGUGUUCAUUGUUCUACCUUUGUUUAUAUGUCACAUUACAGUGCUUAUAUCAGUGUAUAAUAGCUAUGAGUGAACAUGUGGGUAUUAAAGGAUCAGCAGAUCUGACAUUAUCUUAUUUACCAGCCUAUUACCUACUCAAUAAAUUAACUUCUAGCUCAGA